rnacentral:rRNA from 1 species
GUUGUGAAAGCCCUGGGCUCAACCUGGGAACUGCAGUGGAUACUGGACGACUAGAGUGUGGUAGAGGGUAGCGGAAUUCCUGGUGUAGCAGUGAAAUGCGUAGAGAUCAGGAGGAACAUCCAUGGCGAAGGCAGCUACCUGGACCAACACUGACACUGAGGCACGAAAGCGUGGGGAGCAAACAGGAUUAGAUACCCUGGUAGUCCACGCCCUAAACGAUGCGAACUGGAUGUUGGGUGCAAUUUGGCACGCAGUAUCGAAGCUAACGCGUUAAGUUCGCCGCCUGGGGAGUACGGUCGCAAGACUGAAACUAAAGGAAUGACGGC